rnacentral:lncRNA from 1 species
AUCAGUUCUGGUAGAAGGGACAGAGGCAAAUAGUGUAAUAUUUUUUAAAAAAAAAUAAAAAUUUUUAAAGUUAAAAUGGAAUUUUUAGUCUUCAAUAUAUUUUUAAAAAUUCAUAUAAAACUUCAUCUUCCAGCAAGCGAUGUCUUGUAUAAAUGAACUGCCUACUACAGAGCCAGACAAGAUGCAGCUGUCGCCUGAGGACAGACUGGCCUUAACUGCCAGCAAGGUGAUAGUGUCCCCUAGCAAACAUUUUACACCAUCUUAUCUUAUGCCCAUCAACACAACAAAGUCAGUGCUAAAACCAUAAGAGAAGAAAAGACUAUGUCACAGGCAGGGAGCAGACUCUAGGAAGUUACAAUUAUAAUGUGAAUAUAUACCCAGGUUUUAAGAAGGCAGACAGCUAAAGCAUAUUUCAUGCAGGGUUCUUGAUUAUUGCCAGGUUAAAAGAGCUUCUCUGGUAUUAAGCUGUGUCUGCAUCUUGACAGAGUUUUUUGGUUUUUUUCCUUUUAGCAUAGUUCCAUACACGUGUGUAGGGUAGGGCCUCAUUUCUUUGGCAUGAAAAUAUUUUUUACACAAAAAUGGUUCACCAAAAACAAAAUAUAGUUGCUUUAAGAAGUGAACUUUGAGAUUCUGCUCGCCUUUGUAUUAAAUGCUGCUUCUGCGGGAAUCACAAUCCUCUUUGUCUUCAGGUGAAGUAUGGUAUCCGCUUUCUGCAUUCCAAUGAGAAUCCUGCUUCUGAGAAAAAACAGAAACAGUCAACACAGUGAGAAGGGGUUAGCACCGCAUAGUGCGCUAACAGUUCGGGAGUCUGAGCUCCUGACUACACACCCCGGCUCUCCUCAGUAAGGUCUCCCUUACUGAGGGAGACCUCAGACCUCAGACCUCCGCAAUGAGAGCGGAGGGAGCGGGAAAGAGGCAGGGUCUGCUAAGAUUUCUUGCCUUCCUACUGGAAGGGCUCUUGUGCUUAACCGGAAACACCUGUGGCACCCACGCCCGCGGUCUGGUGGUCUGGAGGAACUGCCCUUGGAAUGAAGGUCUGACAGAAGCAAACAGAACACAUGGAAGUGCUUCUUGGGCGACAGACUCACAAAGCUUGAAGUCACACAGGAUUCUUUCUAGACAGACAUACAGAAGCAAUCCUCAGAUGAAAAUUUAGAUGCCUUUUGAAAAAUUUUAUUUUCUGAGUCAGGGUCUCACUAGUGUAGCCCAGGCUGACAUCCAAUUCCUCAUCUUUCUGCUUCAGUCCUCCCAACUUCUGGAGGGCUAAGAUUACCACAGUGUAUUAUACCAUGUCG